ACGACUAUAUCACGGUGAAACAGUUUCUCGUACGAUCAUCGAAGUUAAGAAACAUCGAGUUUGGUCAUUACUUAGAUGGGUGACCGCUUGGGAAUAGCAGGUGCUGUAAG